UUAGAAAACUAGAGUUUUUUUGCGAGUUGUCAGAUUCUUUCCACAGUCCACACUCAUUUGAAUCAACUGCUAUCAAGGAUCCUAGUCUUGCAUAUCUACUCUUGAAUAUACUUUAUAAAUAAUGAAUCCUUUCAAUACUAUAGACCUGGUUCUCCUCCUGGCUUUGAUUCGAAACCUCUCCGCAACCCUAGGAUUAUUUUAUCCUAGGUUCCUCAUAUCUGUGAAAAAAGACUGAGGACUAUUAAGAGGCUUUAUACCUGAAUUCUGCAUUUAAAAUAAGAAUCUUUUAAGAAUGAUAAAAAAGUGAUGUGUUUAAUUGAUUCAAGUGAAAAUAUUUUUGAUAAAUGCUUUAUUUAUUGACCUGGCACACACGGAUAGUGGAGGGCUGGGGUGCUUAUGGUAAAAAAAAGGAUAUUGUUCAGAAAUCCAAUUCACUUGAAAACCUGUAUUUAGUAAUUAUGCAACCCCUACUUGUAUUUAUGUUCAUCUCAAUAAAAUGAUAUUUAAACAAUUAUAAA